CAGGCCUAACACAUGCAAGUCAAGGGGAAAGUUUUGCUCGGCGGAGCGAGUAUACUGGCGGACGGGUGAGUAACGCGUAGGCAACCGCCCUUACGGAUGGGAUAACCCAGCGAAAGUUGGACUAAUACCGUAUAAGCGACUGUACUACCCUGGUAUAGUUGUCAAAGGUUGCUUUUCGGAGCAACGCGUAAGGAUGGGCCUGCGUUCCAUUAGCUAGUUGGUGAGGUAACGGCCACCAAGGCGACGAUGGAUAGCUGGUUUGAGAGAGUGAUCAGCCACACUGGACUGAGAUACGGCCCAGACUCCUACGGGAGCCAGCAGUGAGGAAUAUGCGCAGUGGAGGGAACUCUGACGCAGCAACGCCGCGUGGGGGAUGAAGUCUAUGGAGUGUAAACCCCUGUAAGUAGGGACGAAAGUUAUAUAUUCGAAAGGGUAUAUAUAUGACGGUACCUACAGAGUAAGCUCCGGCUAACUCCGUCCAGCAGCCGCGGUAA
rnacentral:rRNA from 1 species